GAUUGAUUAGCUUCUCUGCUUUUUGUUCCUCCGUUCCGCCGGCUGCAAGAAGCUGAAAUGAGUUCGUGCGAAAUCUCA
rnacentral:sRNA from 1 species